AGAGUUUGAUCCUGGCUCAGGAUGAACGCUGGCGGCGUGCUUAACACAUGCAAGUCGAACGAUGACUUCUGUGCUUGCACAGAAUGAUUAGUGGCGAACGGGUGAGUAACACGUGAGUAACCUGCCCUUAACUUCGGGAUAAGCCUGGGAAACCGGGUCUAAUACCGGAUACGACCACCUGGCGCAUGCCAUGGUGGUGGAAAGCUUUAUGCGGUUUUGGAUGGACUCGCGGCCUAUCAGCUUGUUGGUUGGGGUAAUGGCCCACCAAGGCGACGACGGGUAGCCGGCCUGAGAGGGUGACCGGCCACACUGGGACUGAGACACGGCCCAGACUCCUACGGGAGGCAGCAGUGGGGAAUAUUGCACAAUGGGCGAAAGCCUGAUGCAGCGACGCCGCGUGAGGGAUGACGGCCUUCGGGUUGUAAACCUCUUUCAGCAGGGAAGAAGCGAAAGUGACGGUACCUGCAGAAGAAGCGCCGGCUAACUACGUG
rnacentral:rRNA from 1 species